UACGUAGGGUGCGAGCGUUUGUCCGGAAUUAUUGGGCGUAAAGAGCUUGUAGGUGGUUUGUCGCGUCUGCUGUGAAAAUCCGAGGCUCAACCUCGGACUUGCAGUGGGUACGGGCAGACUAGAGUGUGGUAGGGGAGACUGGAAUUCCUGGUGUAGCGGUGGAAUGCGCAGAUAUCAGGAGGAACACCGAUGGCGAAGGCAGGUCUCUGGGCCAAUUACUGACAC
rnacentral:rRNA from 1 species